rnacentral:rRNA from 1 species
UACAGAGGUCUCAAGCGUUGUUCGGAUUCAUUGGGCGUAAAGGGUGCGUAGGCGGCGCGGUAAGUCGGGUGUGAAAUCCCGGGGCUCAACCCCGUGACUGCAUCCGAUACUGUCAGGCUAGAGGUAGGUAGGGGAGAUCGGAAUUCCUGGUGUAGCGGUGAAAUGCGCAGAUAUCAGGAGGAACACCGGUGGCGAAGGCGGAUCUCUGGGCCUUACCUGACGCUCAGGCGCGAAAGCUAGGGGAGCGAACAGG